rnacentral:rRNA from 1 species
UACGGAAGGGGCAAGCGUUGUUCGGAAUCAUUGGGCGUAAAGGGCGCGUAGGUGGUUCUGUAUGUCUACCGUGAAAGCAUACGGCUCAACUGUAUUUUGUCGGUAGAAACUGCAGGACUUGAGGCUGGGAGGGGCUGGUGGAAUUCCCUGUGUAGCGGUGAAAUGCGUAGAUAUUCGGAAGAACACCAGUGGCGAAGGCGACUUACUGGACACAUAUUGACGCUGAGGUGCGAAAGCGUGGGGAGCAAACAGG